UUAGUAUAAAAAUAUGUAAUAAUAAAAUAGAAAGCGUAUUAUGUAGCUUAUUUAAGUAAGCCGCUGCAUAUGUUCAAUGAUUAUUAAGUAUGUUUUUAUAUAUGAAAAAUUUACUAAGUAUGUAUGAUGUAUUAAGCUCUUUGAAUAAAUGUGAUCUGAUUGAUGGAGCUUAUAGUAAAAUAAAUUGUCUUUUUAAUUUGUGGUGGAUGGGUUAGAAACUUUAAAAAUGUUUAGGUGAUCUUAUAUAAGAUUUUUAUUGUGAUUUUAAUCAAUUAUGAUAUAGAGAUGUACUCCCUCCGUCCCAAAAUAUAAGAUCUAGUUGAUCACUGCAUGUACGUUGAUGCACAAUUUUAAUC
rnacentral:lncRNA from 1 species